rnacentral:lncRNA from 1 species
AUGCCCGUUUUCACCAACAGCCUCUUACCGUUUCCCUAACUAAAUGCAACUUUUAAUAAGGACUCCUCCCAAUUUGACACCUACCUAAAUUCAUUUUCACCACACUUGUACAUGGAUCCCUUAAGUAAGUGACAGAUUACUAGUUCUACAAACGAUAAUGCAAAGUCGAUAUUUUAUCGAUAAAAUGAUUUUUCUGUACUUCUUAAGAAAUAAACGUCUAUCGAGUAUAUAUUACUAAAGCCUAAGAAAAAGACAAGCUAGUGAAAUUGCUGACGUCUCAUAGAGACACAAUAUUAAACAAAAAACGGAUGGGACCACGAACGAAGCCAAAAACAAAGCUUGGAUCCAGUCACAAAUAGUUUUAAUGCGAUAGGAACCGUUUACAGUUUCAGGUGGUGCGAGAAAUUGGAAAGACAUGCUGCGCCCAGCCCACCUCAAAUUGAAUUGGUGCAGGAGGAUGAUGAUAAUGUUUGGUACAUCAUAUGAGGACUAAUAUUAAAAUAUUUGUUUACUAUCUUUGUUUUCAUUUACAUAAUUUAUUAUGUUCAAUGUUAGCCUACUUCUUACCUCCAGAGGGUAUCCCCUAUCACCUAGGAGAUAGGCUCCUCCAUAUUCACCAUUUUCGAAUCAUUGGUAUCUACUGCAGUUUUGGUAUUUAAGGCCUAUUCAAACCUGAGCGAUAUUCGCUGCCGCUGUGGGUAGAGGUAGAUACCGCGCGGGUUUCGCUCAGGUAUUUAGUAUCAAGUAUAGUUACCGGCACGGAUAUUGAGCUCUCGGCGGAAGAGUGGGGAUCGCUUUGCGCACUGUACACAAGGCAAUAAACCAAUAAAUGGCUUCUGCGCAGGUGAAGGUCAGGGCUCAAUAUCCGUGCCAAUAACUAUACCGCGGCUAGAGCGACCUGAGCGAUAUUCACUGCUGCUGUGGGUAGAAGUACAUACCGCGCGGCAGCAGCGGCAUGCAUCCCGAACAUCAACAGUAAUAUUAUCGCAUACCCACUGGGUUUUCUUUGUCGCAGGUGGUAGCGAAUACCGCUUAGGUCUGAACAGUCAUAUUACCGCAUACCCACAGGGUUUUCUCUGCCGUAGACGGUAGCGAAUACCGCUUAGGUCUGAAUAGGCCUAUAGUUGUCCCGGCUACCGCGAAACUACAUCAGUGAUUACCAGAUUUGCAUCUGUUAUGGUCUGUAUAUUUAUGGACAUGCAGGACUACCUAUUUUUGAAUAAUUCAUCGACAUCACGACCCAGCAAGUGCAUUCAUAGCAAGUGAUAACCUAUAAUCUUAUAAAAAAGUCAUGAUCAUCGUACUUAUUUCUCAGUCAUCUGCUCUUUCACGUAAGAUAGGUACGUGGUCUUCUAAUGAUUAUUAUUUUACAUAUCCACAACCUCCCUAAACUUUCUAAAAGUUUACGUUUCAUUUAUUUAUUUUUUUGCUUUUUAAACAUGGUAUUUUUGGUGUUACAUAACAUAUGAAGGUACAUUUCACUAUCCAUCGCCAGAAACGGUUCAAAAUAUGUUUGUAUUCUGUAAUGAUAAUGAUAGGGGUUGUUUAAGCAGGCAUCAAUCGGGCUCCCAAGUUUAAGUCAAAUUUUUAGGUUAUAAUUGACACCUAGGCUUUGGUGAAAAUGAAAUUCUUAUUAAGUGUUCCGUAAAUGCUCCCUAAAUUUAGGUAUUCGUUGGUGAAAACGGGCAUUAG